GAGGCGCCUCCGCCGAAGGGGCGUGGGCGCGAGGGGAGCUCGCGCACGACCCGUGUCCCGGCUGACGACGACCGUCGCUCCUGUAUGUACUGUACAGUACUGUUGUUCUUUGCGCCCAGCAGCAGCAAGCAAACUGGCCCGGCUUGUUGUGUCUGACUCUUCGUCACUCCAUGGACCAGAGCACGCCAGGCACUCCUGUCUUCCACUGCCUCCCGCAGUUUGGUCAAACUCAUGAAUACAUAAUACAUAAAUACGACCAGCCAAAUGUCAGCGGUUAUCCAGAUUCUGCUAUACUUCAAUGGUUUCAAUAUUGUGUAUGCUAAAAACAUGGGUAGCUUUUGCUCAGUUGUGCAGCAGCCAUCAAGCCUGAUCCACUGAAUUCAGUACAACCUACCCCCAGUGAAAUGUGCAGAGAAUUGCAACCUUUCAGAUAUUUGAGUGUCAUCUCUGUGUGCAAAAUCCUUUUUAAAUAGUCUCUUAGGAAGUAUGAUGUACAGUAGUUGUUAGACUCAGCCUUUCUGAACCUUGUGUCCCCAGAUGUUGUUGGACUACAAGACCCAUCAUCCCUUACCUGGUCCUGAUAUCCAGGCAUCAUGGAAGUUGUAGUCCAACAACAUAUGGGCACCCAAAGAUGAGAAAGGCUGGAUAGUGUGUUGAACUAGGACCAGGGAGACCUCACUUUAUGUAAAAACUACCUCUCACCCUACAGCACCUCACAAAAUUGUUGUGAGGAUAAAACAAAUGGGCCAAACCAUGCCAUUCCUGCUACAUAUCAAACAGCUGCCAUCUCUGUUAUCUGUUUGAUAAUAUAUAUUGUCCUGUUGAAGGCCUUCCUUUUCGAGUGAAACCUUUAAGUAGAGAUUUCUUUCCCAGUCUGUAUCUGUGUUGGACUUGUUUUUAAUAUGCUUUCAUUAUUGAUGUUUUCAUUGUUAAAUUGCUUUGGGGUGUUUUAUGGGGAGCAGUUCAUAAAUGCUAUAAAUAAUGAUGAUUAUAACACACUGCCUUAAACUCCUUGGAGGGAAAGUGGGAUAUAUAUUUAGUAAAUAAGUUCCCAUUGCAGUUGGGUUUACUGUUUCCCCCCCCCCUUAAAUAGUACCUAAACUCAAGACAGCCAUCUUCCCCCACAACCUCUCUCCUAUGCUUCUUACACCAGGUUGAUUUGCAGACAAUAGUACUUAUCUUUAUAGCAGGAAAAGCAUUAUUUGCUGGAACUGGAGAUAUAGUUGGUUUUAGACAGACAAUAUCCUGAGCAUCACAUAGUUAUCUAGUAAACUUCACUCAGUCUGGUUGACUCUGAUUAUGCAAGACUUCCUAGAUCCCAGCCUCAGGCUUGAAAUCAAAGGCCCUUUGUUACAUUUUCCGCACCUGACUUUCUCUGUCAUGUCAUCAACACACCUCUUUGCUUGCCAGAGUCCAGGUGACAAGCUGAGGGUUACAGAUGUUCUGUGUAUCAGUUACUAACCUGGUGGGAAUUAUUGCCAGGGUGAUCACUUCCAAAAGAAGGCUCUUGUGCCUUUAAUGGUUGUGCAGAGUUCAUAGAAAAUUUUGGCAAAGGCAACUUGUUGUGCAAGGUCGAGAAGCUACACUUAGCUGCAGUCCCUUGUCUGUACAGCUGUUAAAAGAGACAGGAACCCUUUUCUGUUUUGCUUCUAGUCAGUCUGUCCUCAGAGGGGGAGAGAUCCACUUUUUUCACCAUGAUAUCCCUGUUUUCCCUCAUUCUUCAGUAUGAGAUUCAUUGUUAAUGUACAGGUAAUCCUAAAACUUCCUAAUUCAGAUUACUUUGGCAAUUCUCAGGAGGAAUUGGCAGGGAAAGAGCUGCAUAGUAAUGUGAUGCUGAUAUAUAAAGUGCCUUUCAUUUAAUUGGGAACAUGCAACCUCUUGUUAGUUUUCAGCCUUAUUUGUUUAAGGUGAAAGGAAAAGAAAACUGAACAAGGAGGAGCUGAGCUGUGUUUCAUAGGGUAUGUAUGUUAGGAUAGGGACGGGGAAUCUGUGGCUGUCCAGAUUAUCUUGAACUCUAAUUCCCAUCAUCCCUAACUAUUGGCCACGCUGACUAGGGCAGAUGGGAGCUGAAGUCCAAGGAGAUACCGUAUCUUGAUAAGGACUUCCACAAACUAUACAUGUUGUGAUAUGGGUUAUGAGUUUGUUUUAAAUAUGCAGAACUUGUCUAUGAACAAAAUGAUCUAAGCACCAAGGAAUAAUGAGCUGUUCACCACAACAGUUCUACAAAGACUUUUCCUUAUUUGUAAACUAUAAGAAUUCAAAACUUCACAAGGCUUAUGAAGUUUAACCUCAUUAAACAAACAUGUUUUAUAUCUAUGACAAGUGGAAACAGCGUUAGAAACAGAUAUGAAAGCUAGGAGCUAAAAGGCACCUUAAACCUAGGUUAUGGGCACAACAACAGAAUGUCUAGGCACACUUUUUAAUAGCAAGAAUACAAAGCUGAAAAUGAAUGAACUGCAGCUAAAAUAUUAUGUUCAUUUUUCACAUGGUCUAGUCUUUCCCCUGCCUUCCCCCCUAAUAUUCUUAAGAGGGUCUCUUCUCCAGUCUUCAGAGAGUAGCUGGAAGUGGGGAGGCAGAAAAAGAUCCUUCUUUCCUUCCACUCUGCAGUUUUAAUUUGAAAUCUUAAGUGCAUUACUGCGCCCAGAGCUCAGAAACUGCUCGCGCUAAUGAAAUUCCUUGUCGAAAAAUGCACAAAGAGCAAUGGGAGUUUCGAACACUGAGUGGAAAAGUUUACAACUGUGGUAGUUUGUGCCUGGGAGAACAUCAGAACACUUCUUAUCCAGGUGUUGGAUUAUUAUCUGAAUCGUAAAUGGGUUUUUGAAGGUAAAGUUGCCCCCGUUUGGACUCUUGCCCAAUAAAACAGAACAAAAUUAUGACCAACCAGUUACGUUGCAAAUCAUUCCAGUUCACUGUUAAGAAGAACUGUGCUUCCUUUAAAAUAUAUUUAAUAAAGCCACUAUUUUCCACUGAAAGAAAAGAACAUUAAGAAAUCCCGUAUAUGUUGUUGUUUAAUGUUAGAUAUGUUGCUAGUUGUAUGUUUGUUUGUUUGUUUGUUUGUUUGUUUUAGUUCAAAAGCUUCCAGCAACCGAACAGAUUUUGACUUGGUGCCCUCUUCUGUUUGACACGUGUCACUACACUGAAAGCACCUAGUUGGUCACCAAGCCAAUUUUAAAGUUUCUGCUACUUGCAUGAAAAACUCUAGAUAAAAGGCACAAUGAUCAGCUAACAUAAUCCAGGCCAGAUUAUUGGUUUGCGAUAACACAAAGGGAGGCUUUUUCACUGGUGGCAAGGGAUGUAGCUCAGUGGUAGAACAUCUGUCUUGCAUGCAGAAGGUCUCAGUUUCAAUCCCUGGCACUCCCAGAAAGGACUGGAAGAGAAUCCUGGCUGAAAUUCUGAAGAGCUGCUGCUGGUCAGUGUACUGUAGAUAGUACUGAGCUGAUUCAGUAUAAGGCAGCUGCAUAUGCUCCUUUACUGGUUUGGAAUGUCCCGCCUGCUGAAAUAGGAUAGACCCCAUUAUGGUUGCCAUUCUUCCAGCUCCUGAAGAUACUCCUGUUUUAAGUAAGCAUUCCCCUGAGGUAAGCUUCUGAUUUUAUUUUAACUGUAUGCUUUUUUAUUUAUUGUUUUAUUAUAUGUUUUAAUUAAGAAUGUUUUAAUGCCUAGUGGAAUCUGUGAAUACACUGUAGUGCCCACAAUUCUUUGAGGAUGUGUUACAGAUCACACAGCCUGGAUUCCUCUCUUCCUGUCCUCUUCGCUCCCUGGUCUGUAUGCUCCUGCCUCCCCAUGCUCCUUGCUCUUCACAGCCCUUUCUGCUCUUAGGCAGUUUCCCCUUCCCAAAUAUAACCGUUCAACCAAUGAGCGGAGGGUGAAUUUGCAGAGGUGUGGAAUCCAAUCUGUUGGGUAAAUAUAUCAGCCUAAUUUGAAGUGAUAUCGCUCCUUUAGUAGUGUAUGCAUCUUUUUAAAAGAGUGUUUCUUUAGUAGAAAACUACAUUCUUAAUGCCAAUACAGGCUUUACUUCAAGCUAGUUCAGAUUUUUUGGGGGAAAUAAGAUUUGAGAUAUCUCUCUUCAGCACAUACUGAACCUUAACAAUGUGUUCAUGGUCCUGAAUAAGGCCAUAGUCCCAAUGGCAGUUAAUGGGGGGGGGGAAAGGCCUACUCCCCCCAAAAGGUGAAACUAUACUUUAUGGAUGUUAACAACUUGGUGCAAACUGACAAUAGUACAUAGUUCUGAACUGAAGUAAUAAUCUACACAAAUCAUGUUUGCCACUAGUGCCAGGGUCAGUCUAUUCCUCUACUGGAAUUUUUAUCAGUGAUUUCCAAAAGAAAUUAAUGCUUAAUUUAAUAUAUGAAUGGUUAAAUUGUUCACUGAUGAAUCUUCGUGAUUAUUACAAGGAUACAAAAUUCUACUGCCUACUUACAGCUGUUAUUCAUGGAAAUCACAGUACCUUUGCUUUGUGAUGCAACCACACAGAUCCAAGGCAUAGAGGCUCCUCCAGUCCAUCAUGAAACCAUCCUUCAUAUUCAUGAAUAGCAUUUUAAAGAUCCCAGAUGCACUACUGCAUUGUACAAAAUAGGGAUCUGAAGCACAAAUUCUUUCAGACCAUCUCCAAAAGUCAUGACAUGACAGAUGCAAACACAACAUCGGAAUAACAACAAGUGUGUUGGCCAACAUGGUCUGUCAAACUAAUAAAGAAUGCUCAAAACCAGGAGAAUGAGAUGUGUUAGCAAAACACACUGAUGAAGACGACAGUGGGCUAGCUGCAGUAUGAUCACAUUAUUCUGUUCUGAGUUAGUGCCAGGUUAUCAACAGGAUAUUACAUUUGAAAGCAAAAGGAAAUAGUAAAUUGCCAUGAAUGUGCCCUAAGGAAUGUACUGUAAUCUUUCCAAGAGUGUAUUCCUUGUAGACUGAACAUUAUAUAUCCCUUUUAAAGCCCAGCUAUGUUUUGAUAAAUGGCUCUGUUAUAGGUAACCAGAGCAAAAACUCUCAUUCUCAGCACAUUUACUUAAAAGUCAAUUAUGUUAAAGCCAAUCGGACUUAAUGCAGAGAUCUUUUCUGCAUUCAAGAAAACACUUGGUCAGAAUAAUCUUGCCUAUAUCGAGAGAUCUGUUUUUACUGUCGUAUAUCGGAACAAGGCAUGUAGUUGUAUCAGGGAGGAAAAGAUAAUUUCCCAGUAAAUUAUAAUGUGCCAUCCUACUGAUAAGAAAUAUUUGUCAUUACCGUUGUGAGGUCAUAACAGAGGCAUGUUCAGCAUCAUCCCAUAGGCCCCUCCCUGCUUAUUUGUAAUCCUUUGUAGGAAUUCCAAAUGACUAUUUUGUGGUGGUCCUUUCCUGUCUUUUUGCAGGCCCAUGUUAAGCCCAAUCAAUAGUGGGAGUGAAGGCAGGAAAAUGACCAUACAGUGGUACCUCGGUUUAUGAACACAAUUGGUUCCGGAAGUCUGUUCAUAAACUGAAGCGAACUUUCCCAUUGAAAGUAAUGGAAAGUGGAUUAAUCCGUUCCAGACGGGUCUGCGGAGUACUUAAACUGAAGCGUUCAUAAACUGAAGCAUGGGUGUAAUUGGUUCCGGAAGUCUGUUCAUAAACUGAAGCGUUCAUAAACUGAAGCAAACUUUCCCAUUGAAAGUAAUGGAAAAUGAAUUAAUCCGUUCCAGAUGGGUCCGCGGCGUUCAUAAACCGAAAAUUCAUAAACCGAGGUGUUCAUAAACCGAGGUUCCACUGUAUUGUGUUCCUCUUCUCCCUGGAUCCAGAGUAGUAUGGUAGAACACACAUCCAUUUUUCAAGCCUGUUACAGCCAAUCAAUCACUGCUUCCUCAAGGCCAAACUAGGCAAGAUACAGAACACAGAGAUGGUCUCUCACCUGUUUUUUGUUUAUUUUUAUUAAAAUGCAGUCACUGAAUAGGGGGUUGGACACACAGCAACAAGGAUCUGGGUAGAAUGAUAGGACAAAUGCCAUGGCUGAGAAGUAGAACCAGUUUGUGUACGUAUUACUGUCCUAAAAUGCAGCUAGGUUGUUCCUUAUCUCAAUUAGAGUCAAAGCUGUAUUGGGGGAAAUGGCAUCCAAACACAGUAUUCCAUAAGAAACAAGAGGAUAGAUGUGGAUUGUGGCUAAUGGGUGUAUACCACUUCCAAAACUAGCAGUAGGAGGAGCACACUGGAUAAUUACUUCUUUGUACUGUCUCUCUCUUCUUAUACUACCUCCUCUCCUUUCGCUUAUUGUCUCAUUCCAGCACUGACAUUGGGCUCAAAUGCCCAUGCAAAUAAUGGAUGGUAGAGCCUAACCAGGUUGUAAUGCCAGGCUGCAAUCUCAAGCACACUUACUGGGGAGUAAGCCGCAUUGAGUUCUGUGCCACUUGCUUCUGAUUAAAGUAUUAUUAGUAUUGCAUUGCAUUAUAAACAUAAUAUGUAGGACUGUAUAGUGUCUCCCCUGCUCAUAUAAUGGGGUAGAGCAAAAAAAUGUAAAAGAAGAGAGGGCUGUGAGCCUUCUUGCAAGUUCUAAAGAUUCCAGUUGCACCAUGGCUCAUGACCUGUCAAAUCAGUCUGGAUCAUGAACCAGUUGAAGCAUGAAAUGAGAGGUGGAGAGACAAGUGACUGUUGGAAGAGGGUCAAUGAAUGGCAAGAGAAAACAGACUUUUUCAGCAGAGCAACCCUGCAACAGGGUUUUAGAUGCAGUGGCCAGACUACAACAAAAUAACAUCUGAAGGAAAGAGUCCUCUUUUCACACCAACCCUAGUCACUCUCAGCUAUGUUCCAGCUACUAACCUAGUUAUACGUCUUUCAUUCUGACUCAGUUACAGCAUACUGCUGUAAAUGUUUGCUCAAAAGUAAUUUCCAAGCCCAUAGUUAUUCCCAUACACUGGGUGGCUUACCCAGACUUGCCUCCCACCAGCAUGAAAGGGGUAUUUGUGGGGACAGGCCAUUCAAAAUUCUUAUGAAGAACAGCAUGGGAAUAAUAAAUAUUUAUUUUUUUAUGCUUAGGUUAGAAAUAAGUUGUUGCAUUUACGUGAGGAAGAACUUGUUCCCGAGAAACAUGUACAAUGAACUAUUUACACUGCCUAAGUCUCUUGAACUGUGUUAAGAAAACAAAGUAAUCUCUGUGAAUGAGACUUGUUUAGUUCUCUAUGAACUUCAUCUUUCAUUUAAUGAACUAUUCUAUUAGCUAACCCAGCCAUCAAGACAUUGUUCGCUCUAAUGCAGAAUGUCACAUUCAAAUAUUUCUGAAGAUAUUUCUUUCUAAAAACUAUGGAGCUAAAAGAAUAGCAGAUGGCUAGCAUAACACAACUUGGAAUUUGCCUGGAGCUGUGGACCAGCAUGAUCAAAAGCUGGAGUCCACUAUAAUUUAAUUCAUCUCUUAAAUUGUGCAUGUUAAAUCAGUGGUACUGAGUAAUGCACAGUAAUUUUAACAUACUGUAUAGGCACACAAGCUGUUGCAUUGCCAUUGUCAAGUAGUAUGGCAUUUAGGGUGUUGCUUUUAUGAAAAAACUGUAAUUAGAAGACUAUUUUCAAAUUUGAACUUUCUGCAGAGUUUACGUUAUUUUAAUAAAGUCAUAUCCAAGGGAAGAAUAUUCCCGUAUGUUGGCAGGGGCUGAAAGCUGUGACUAGUGGCAUCCAAUGUCUAAAGUUAUUCAAGAUCAGCACCAACAGAGCGCUCCAAACCAUGUCUACUCAGUAGUGUGAAUGAAUUAAAUUAAGCUUACUCACAGAUAAAUCAUGUUAGAUUUUAUAAAACAUGUUAGAUUUUAUUAUAAACAAGUCCCCCUGCAAAUACGCACACAGACACAAAUUCUCAGGUCAAUUUUCCAAUGUAACUCUUAAUCUGCAGGUUUCAGUAUCUAUUCAGUUGUUAAGAUCUGCAGAAGAGCCUCUUCUCUGGGUGCUCCCACCUUCAAAAGUGAGGCAUGUAGCAACUGGAGAUACAGUGGUGCCUCACUAGACGAAUUUAAUUCAUUCCACGGGUCUAUUCUUAUAACGAAAAAUUUGUCUAGCGAAUCCCAUAGGAAUGCAUUUAAUAUUUUUUUUUUAAAAAGAAUUGCCCAUAGGAACGCAUUAAUUGAAUUUCAAUGCAUUCCUAUGGGAAACCGCGAUUCGCUAGACGAAUUUUUCGUUAAACGAAUUUGUCUAGCGAGUCAACCUCCGCUAGAAAAAUCCUUUCUUUAAGCGAAAAUUUUGUCUUACGGGGCGUUUGUUAAGCGAGGCACCACUGUACCUUAUUUGUUAAGCAAGGGAGGGCCCUACUUUGGGUUUCAUAUGGUGUCCAAAUGAUAGUACAGUAUUAUGCUUUUAUACAAUGAUCUUAAUCAUCUUUCUUGUUUAGAUUUACUGUUCCAUUCGCUCUGUGAUCAAAUUAUGGUUUUUAGCUGAUUAUAUUAGUUUUUGUUACAAGUACCGUAGGUAGCUGUGUUGGUCUGACGUAGUCGAAACAAAAUUUAAAAAUUCCUUCCACUAGCACCUUAGAGACCAACCAUGUUUGUCAUUGGUAUGAGCUUUCAUGUGCAUGCACACUUCUUCAGAUACCUGAAGUAUUUUUAUUUUAUAUCAGUUUUUGUUUGCCAUUGCGGAUUUUUGGUAUGUUUUUAUAUUAUGGUAACAAUAGGGGUUUUUUGGGGGGGGGUUGUGGUUGUCUUGUGGAUUUUUUAAUUAUGAGAAUUGAUUUGGGAACUGUGAAGUUCAAAAGUGGCAUAUCAAUCAAUAAUUAGAGAAGGAGGGGUUGGUAUGGGACAAUUGGAGCACAUGUGAACAAGACGUAUAUAGUUUUAUUUCCUUAUGACAAAGAGCCAUAAUAUGUAUAUUCAGUAGAUUGUUAGUUAACUUUAUCAUCCAUGGAACGUUUAUUUAAAAUGGCACAAUUAUGACAAACUAAAACCCACUGAAUGCUCUGACAAAUGGUAUUUUAAAACUAACAGCAGGACCUUUGUACUGUCAACAGUUGUGUUGCAAAGCAUAGCCACUCUGCCUGCAUUUGCCAUCGAGCCCUACUCUGCAAAUAAUCUGAAGAAAGUAGAAGUGCCAAAGUCUAAAAUACAUAGUAACUAAUUGAUGUUUAGGAUUAACAAAAGACAUUUCUGUCCAUUACAGUCAAGUCUGAGUGGGGAUAAAAGUUCAGUCUGCGAAAUCCUUUUAAAUGUCUAAUUAAAGACAUAUGAAUCUUCAAGUAAAUGGCAAUAUUAUCAAUGCAUGCAUUUUUCUUUUACUAUAUUAAUGGAAGCGAAUUAUUAAUGCUCCAUGAACAUUUAAAUGUGAAUUAAAAUAAAAAGGAAGAGCAAACAAUAAGCAAAGGCAUAUGGGCUGCUUAUCAGUCAUUACCAAAAUGAAAUAAGAUAACCCUAAUUCUCAAGGCAAAUGUAGCAUGAAAUAAACAAUAGCAUCUCUGGUGCAUUAACUUAAGAAGGAUGCAUGUUAAACACAUUUAAAUUAAGUGUUGCUCUAGAAUUCUGAACUGGUUGCUUUUUCUCUGCCUUUGUGUGCCACCCUCCAUAUGCAAUGGAAUCCUACAAAACUGCCUGCUUUUAUUAAAUAGAAUGUACCAUGGCAGGCUCUAGGGUUUUGUUGUCAUCUGCACAUACCCCAUACACAUUACACACAGACAAACAUUGAAAACUGAACUUAAUACUAAACUUUGACUAGUUUCUGGACCAAAUUCACUAACACUGUUCAGCUCAACAAAUCAGGACCACAAAUCACAGCUCAAGGUUGGCUUGUGAAUCUCAGGGUACUUUCGUUGCAGUUUGCUGUUAGUCAAACUUGAUAAUAGCAUCAAUUAUAAAAACUCAGCAAUUAUUAAAAAAAAAAUUGUGAGUGCGGCAGGAUGUCACAUGGUGUCACAUGAGUCCAACAGAUGCCCAGUUCUGACAACCUCUGAUACUAGACUUGGGUCAGAACCAUGUUUGUAGCUGAGGUAUCUGCAAUUUCUACACUAUUCAACAGGCAAGCCAAUUUCAAACUGAAAACGGUUAGCCUAUUAAAGCUGUGUGCAAGACUGCAAUAGAUAGGGCAAAGUUUCCUCGGGUAACCAUAUGCAUAGAUUUAUAGAACUGCACCCUUUCACUGUGUGACACCAUACUAAAUAUUAUCCUGUUACAUUUUCAGCAGACACUGGUAUCUGUAGAAACAUAACACAGUAGACAUAAACAUAAUUCAAGAAAGAACUACAGGUUUCACAAGAAUGCAAACAAAAAUUGUAAAACAAAAUCCUUUAUUAAGAGGUAGGCAAGACACCGAUUUCAGCAUUCUGUUUCCCUGUAUCAUUAUUCCAUGUGAAAAUGAUUGUAAUUAGGAAUUCAAAUCUUCAAUUCUGUUAAUACAAAAUAUUUCAGCUCAAUACUACAUUACGACUGUGCUUACUAAUUGUUGUUCCAACUAUAUGUGUGGGGAAAGGUGCUUCCCCCUCAAAAGUUGAAGUGUAAGGAAGACUUUAAAACACCUUUCUUUUGCAACUGAAAUAAAGCAGCUAUAUUUCUAUCUGAUCUCCUAAUGUUUUUGAAUGAAUUUAGCAGUUCCAUUUGGAGAUACAGUAAUGGAAAUCACCUAUGUUAAAAAACAAAAUUAACUUGAGUUUAUUGUGCCAACUUGAGUACCUUUACAUAUUAAAACUGGAAUUUCUCCAACUCUGCUUGUGGUUUUCACUUGUAUUGCUUAUAUUUAAUUGUAUUGCAUCUCAUUAUAUCAGUGUUUCUAUUCCAUUCUCUUCAGCAUGGAAAUAGCAGUGUGUGCACAUUAUGCACACAGAGCUAUUUCUAGGAAGCCAAAUCGGCAUUCUCAUGAAGCCAAGGGAAAGCUGAAAUACAGUAACAGACAAUUAUUUCCAACUAUAAGGUCUGGAGUUCAGUUGGCUUGCCCCAUACACAGCAUUUCAAGCUUCAUGACUGUGGAAAACUUCUUGACAUCCCUGUUAGUUAUUGAUAAACAAAACUAAGCUAGCUAGAUAAAUAUAAUGCAGCUAUUUACAUAAAAUGGGCCAGUUAUAUUACAAGAAAAAGUAAAAAGUCCCAAACAGACUUGGAAGUUUGUUUCAUAGCUGCCAAGUUAUCCCUUUUUUUAAGGGAAAUUCCCUUAUGCUGAAUAGGCUUCCUCGUGAGAAAAGGGAAAACUUGGCAGCUAUGGUUUGUUUGGGAAUUUCUACCGCAUUUAUAUCCCACCCUUUUCCCCAAAGAGCUCUAGGUGGCAUACAUGGUUCUCCCCCCUCCCCAUUUAAUCCCUCCAACAACAACCCUGUGAAGUAGGUUAGGCUGAGAGGCAGUGACUGGCCCAAGGUCACCCAGUGAUGCUUCAUAGCCAAGUGGAGAUUUAAAUUAUUCUCCUCUAAGCUUUACCUGUUCCAAUUCUUUCUGCGGUCUCCCAAGCCAAUUUCCAUACCCUUCCAGAGGACCCCUAAAACCUCCAGAACAGAUUUUGGAAAGGUACAGAGUUCUUU